rnacentral:rRNA from 1 species
UACGGGGGGGGCAAGCGUUGUUCGGAAUUACUGGGCGUAAAGCGGGCGCAGGCGGGUUUGUAAGGCAGAUGUGAAAGCCCCGGGCUUAACCUGGGAAUGGCAUUUGGGACUGCAAGGCUGGAGUGUGGCAGAGGAGACUGGAAUUCCUGGUGUAGCAGUGAAAUGCGUAGAUAUCAGGAGGAAUACCGAUGGCGAAGGCAGGUCUCUGGGCUGACACUGACGCUCAUGCACGAAAGCGUGGGGAGCAAACAGG